rnacentral:rRNA from 1 species
GACGAACGCUGGCGGCGUGCUUAACACAUGCAAGUCGAACGGAAAGGCCCUGCUUUUGUGGGGUGCUCGAGUGGCGAACGGGUGAGUAACACGUGAGUAACCUGCCCUUGACUUUGGGAUAACUUCAGGAAACUGGGGCUAAUACCGGAUAGGAGCUCCUGCUGCAUGGUGGGGGUUGGAAAGUUUCGGCGGUUGGGGAUGGACUCGCGGCUUAUCAGCUUGUUGGUGGGGUAGUGGCUUACCAAGGCUUUGACGGGUAGCCGGCCUGAGAGGGUGACCGGCCACAUUGGGGCUGAGAUACGGCCCAGACUCCUGCGGGAGGCAGCAGUGGGGAAUAUUGCACAAUGGGCGGAAGCCUGAUGCAGCAACGCCGCGUGCGGGAUGACGGCCUUCGUGUUGUAAACCGCUUUCGCCUGUGACGAAGCGUGAGUGACGGUAAUGGGUAAAGAAGCACCGGCUAACUACGU